rnacentral:rRNA from 1 species
GAUGAACGCUGGCGGCGUGCCUAAUACAUGCAAGUCGAGCGAACAGACGAGGAGCUUGCUCCUCUGACGUUAGCGGCGGACGGGUGAGUAACACGUGGAUAACCUACCUAUAAGACUGGGAUAACUUUGGGAAACCGGAGCUAAUACCGGAUAAUAUAUUGAACCGCAUGGUUCAAUAGUGAAAGACGGUUUUGCUGUCACUUAUAGAUGGAUCCGCGCCGCAUUAGCUAGUUGGUAAGGUAACGGCUUACCAAGGCAACGAUGCGUAGCCGACCUGAGAGGGUGAUCGGCCACACUGGAACUGAGACACGGUCCAGACUCCUACGGGAGGCAGCAGUAGGGAAUCUUCCGCAAUGGGCGAAAGCCUGACGGAGCAACGCCGCGUGAGUGAUGAAGGUCUUCGGAUCGUAAAACUCUGCUAUUAGGGAAGAACAAAUGUGUAAGUAACUAUGCACGUCUUGACGGUACCUAAUCAGAAAGCCACGGCUAACUACGUG